GAAGGUAUAGCUCAGUGGUAGAGAGCAUGCUUAGCAUGCACAAGGUCCUGGGUUCAAUUCCCAGUGCCUCCA
rnacentral:tRNA from 1 species